rnacentral:rRNA from 1 species
CCCUUAGAUGUCCUGGGCUGCACGCGCGCUACACUGACGAACUCAACGAGCUUAUCACCUUGGCAGAGAUGUCUGGGUAAUCUUUUGAAAGUUCGUCGUGCUGGGGAUAGAUGAUUGUAAUUAUUCGUCUUGAACGAGGAAUUCCUAGUAAGUGUGAGUCAUCAGCUCGCGCUGAUUACGUCCCUGCCCUUUGUACACACCGCCCGUCGCUCCUACCGAUUGAAUGGUCCGGUGAGGUUCCCGGAUUUUUUCCGUUGUUUGGUUCGCUAAACGAUUGAAGAGAGAAGUUACCCAAACCUUACCAUUUAGAGGAAGGAGAAGUCGUAACA